rnacentral:rRNA from 1 species
UAUGAACCCUUACUAUGUACUGAAUAACUCCAUAAAUAUAUGGAAGAUAUUAUGCUAAAACUAGUAACAAGAACUUAGAGUUCUCCAAAAUGCAAGCAUAAACCAAAAUGGACACACCAUUGGAUAUUAACGAAAAUGAACAAAACACAGCAACAUUACAAGAAAACCCUGUGUAAUCAAUCGUUAACCUUACACCAGAGCAUUCCCGGAAAGAUUAAAAGAGAAAGAAGGAACUCGGCAAAUUUCAAUCCCGCCUGUUUACCAAAAACAUCGCCUCUUGCUAAACCAUAAGAGGUCCCGCCUGCCCAGUGAAAAAUUCAACGGCCGCGGAAACCUGACUGCGCAAAGGUAGCAUAAUCACUUGUUCUUUAAAUGGGGACUUGUAUCAACGGCAUCACGAGGAUUGCACUGUCUCCUUUCUCCAAUCAGUGAAACUGAUCUCCCCGUGAAAAAGCGGGAAUACAACCAUAAGACGAGAAGACCCCAUGGAGCUUUAAACUUACAACAUCUUAACUUCAUAUAGUCCCUUACAACUGAUAAGCCAUGCACGUAAGUUUUAGGUUGGGGUGACCACGGAGUAAAAAUCAACCUCCACGACGAAAAGAACUAAACCCUUUACCCAAGAGCUACCUCUCUAAGAACUAGCACACUAACGUUUAUGACCCGACAAUCGAUCAACGGACCAAGUUACCCUGGGGAUAACAGCGCAAUCUACUUUGAGAGCUCAUAUCGACAAGUAGGCUUACGACCUCGAUGUUGGACCAGGGUAUCCGAGUGGUGCAGCCGCUACUA